UUUCAGUAGCUGUUCUAAGUUAAAUAUCAAGAAAUGUUUCACAAUGCAUCCUAUUAAAAAAUAAAUAAAUACAAAUAAUAAAAAUAACAUAUUAUAAUUCCAAAGCACUAUGUUAUGCACUUCCAAACUGAUGCUGAAAGUCAGUGAUGAAAUAUCACUAAAUUCAGAAUAUAUUCAAAUUACUAUUAUUAUACUUCAAUAAUAUUAUUAUAUAUAUAGAAUGUUACUAUAUUUGGACCAAAUCAUACAUCAUUUAUGUGCCCUGCUUUUUUUAGACACAACCCUUCAAUACGCUUUAUUCGUAGGAGGUGCAGCAUUACCCAUCAUCCGUCUGCAUUCAUCCAGUGAUUCUCCUCUGUAUCUAGUCUUUGACAUACACCCUCACACAAGAUCAACAUGAGAGGACCUCUUGUUUCUUCAACCGCUGUGAUUUGUUUCAUAGGUGUGGUGCUUUCUAGUAAGGUUGAUCAAACUCCUUCCUCAAUAUUCUGGAGUCCUGAAAGAACGUCUGAAAUCACCUGUCGCCAUCAAAUAACUAACUACGACACUAUACUGUGGUACCAGCGUUCACAGACGGACACUGAGCUGAAACUCAUCGGUUAUAUGAGUUAUGAGCGCGGAACUAUGGAGAAGCCAUUUGAGAAGCAUUUUAAAGUGAGCGGUCAUGGUGAAGCAAACUCCACACUUCAUCUUAUCAACCUGAGAAAACCUGAAGAUAGUGCUAUGUACUACUGUGCUGCAUAUUACCACAGUGCUGUUUCCUCCCUUUCCAUUAAACAAAAACCCACCUUUAAUAAUCUCAUAACAGAUAGCAGUUUUGCACAGCUGUCACGUGUUUUGGUACAUGGUAUAUUGUCUUCGCUUCAUGUGCAGUUUAUCUAUUGAAGAUGUCUGUCCACUAACAGAGUUCCCAAUAUAGAU